rnacentral:tRNA from 1 species
CGCGGGAUAGAGAAGUUGGUCAUCUCGCCGGUCUCAUAAGCCGGAACCGGACAAAAUCUGGUCGGGGGUUCGAGUCCCUCUCCCGCAA